rnacentral:misc_RNA from 1 species
GUUAUUACUUUAUAGUAAUUUAAUUAGUUUUAAUGACCGUUAUGUUUAGUUUUCAGAGGUUAGUUUCUCUGACAAUAACAAGAAAAAUGUUAUUGAAAUUGUUCUUUGAAAACUGGAUAAUAGACAUCUAGUUAUUUUAAUCAUAUGAUUAAAAUAACAAUAAUUCAAAAUUUCUGUUAUUUUUAAAAAAAUAACUAAAAUUUCACAGUUAUAUUUGUAAAUGAUUCUCAAAACUGAUUUAAAAUCAGGUCAAAUAAUUAAAUUAAUAAAA